UUGUCUCCUGGGAGCCAAUAAAGCUGUGAGUUUUUUCUUUACACCAAAUGCAGCUCUACGGGCGAUCAAUCAAUGGGUAGUCUUCGGAUAAUCUGUGAUAGUGAGAAAUCUAAUAAAGCUAGCGACUAAAAAAGGAAAACAAUCUAUUUUCCUCUUAGGUGAACUACGUCAGGAUGGGUGUGUUCCACUUCUGCUGCUUGAGUAGGGGUAUCCUAUGUGUUGAAGAUUUGAGGUACAGGAGAAAAACUGUCAAGCCUGUAUUCUGUUCAUAAGCAAGGUUCUGAAGAACGAAACUUUCACUUCUUUCCCCGGAAGACAAUUCUCCCGUGUAGUCCCUCUAAUUAUUUAAGGUAGGUCCUCAUUUCUUUAAAAUAGCUGAGUUAUUCAAGUUUGAAAAGCAGCGACUGCGUCAGCAGCCUGACUUAAACUGACAAAAGCAAGGAAAUUCUGGAUCCAUAAUUCACCUUCCACCCCUCGACCUCACA